UUUUAUCAAGAUAAAACCUUAAUGUUUUGCUUACAACAAAACUUAUCUAUAGUUAGAUAUCUUGC
rnacentral:tRNA from 1 species